CCUAUCACUCCCCCACUCCUUUCAACGAUCAUCCUUUCACAUUCCAAUCAUUCCGACCAUCGUCUCCGGCCAGCUCUACCGACCUCCACAAGCUCUAUCGUCGACAUAAAUCUCUAUAUUUCUAUUAAUUUGAGAUUAGAAGAUCUUUGAAAUGUUGCUCUUGCGUUCUUUAGACCUAAUGGCAUUCUAGUGUAGUAAAAUGUUCC
rnacentral:lncRNA from 1 species